GACGGGCCCGCACAAGCAGCGGAGCGUGUGGUUUAAUUCGAUGCUACACGAAGAACCUUACCAGGGUUUGACAUGCAAGUGGUAGGAAUCCGAAAGGUGACCGACCCUUCGGGGAGCUUGCACAGGUGCUGCAUGGCUGUCGUCAGCUCGUGUCGUGAGAUGUUCGGUUAAGUCCGCUAACGAGCGCAACCCUCGUCGUGUGUUAUACGUGUCACACGAUACUGCCGGUAUCAAGCCGGAGGAAGGUGGGGAUGAUGUCAAGUCAGCAUGGCCUUUAUAUCCUGGGCUACACACACGCUACAAUGGCAGAUACAAUAGGUUGCGAAACCGCGAGGUGGAGCCAAUCCUCAAAGUCUGUCUCAGUUCAGAUUGUAGGCUGCAACUCGCCUGCAUGAAGUUGGAGUUGCUAGUAAACGCAGGUCAGCUAUACUGCGUUGAAUACGUUCCCGGGGUUU
rnacentral:rRNA from 1 species